AAACAAACGUGCAGCUAAACCCCCCCCUCUUCCUCGCACCAACCCCCGACGCAAAGCCGCCGGCUUUCCCCCCCGAUGGCGACGGCGAUGUCGGUUUCGGCGGUGACACCGGCCGCCGCGGCGGUCGCGCGGCCGCGGACGAUGGUCUGCGUGCCGGCGACGGCGCGGGCGCCGCGGGAGAUGGCGGAGGAGCUGGCCGCCGCCGCGGCGCUCGGCGCCGACGUGGCGGAGCUCCGCCUCGACUGCCUCGCCGGGUUCGCGCCGCGCAGGGACCUGCCCGUCAUCCUCGCCAAGCCCCGCCCGCUCCCCGCCCUCGUCACCUACAGGCCCAAGUGGGAAGGGGGCGAAUACGAAGGCGAUGACGAAUCACGCUUCGAGGCUCUGCUAUUGGCAAUGGAGCUGGGAGCUGAAUAUGUGGAUGUUGAGUUUAAGGUGGCUGACAAAUUUAUGAAACUUAUUUCUGGGAAGAAACCAGAUAACUGUAAACUUAUAGUUUCAUCCCACAACUAUGAGAACACUCCAUCAUCCGAGGAACUUGCAAAUUUGGUGGCUCAGAUUCAAGCAACGGGGGCUGAUAUUGUGAAAAUAGCUACAACGGCUACUGAAAUUGUUGAUGUGGCAAAGAUGUUUCAAAUACUUGUUCAUUGCCAGGAAAAGCAGGUGCCAAUCAUUGGGCUGGUGAUGAAUGACAGAGGUUUUAUUUCUCGGGUUCUUUGCCCAAAAUAUGGUGGAUUCCUUACUUUUGGGUCUCUCAAGAAAGGAAAAGAGUCUGCACCUGCACAGCCAACGGCUGCAGACUUGAUAAAUGUGUACAAUAUUAGGCAGAUAGGCCCAGACACUAAGGUCUUUGGUAUCAUUGGGAAGCCGGUUGGCCAUAGCAAAAGCCCAAUUUUGCAUAAUGAAGCUUUCAGAUCAGUGGGUUCCAAUGCUGUGUAUGUGCCAUUUUUAGUGGAUGACUUGGCUAAAUUUCUUAAUACAUACUCUUCACCAGAUUUUGCUGGCUUCAGUUGCACAAUUCCUCAUAAAGAAGCUGCUGUUAGGUGCUGUGAUGAGGUUGAUCCCAUUGCCAGGGACAUUGGAGCUGUUAACACAAUCGUUAGAAGACCUGAUGGAAAACUUGUUGGCUAUAAUACUGACUAUGUUGGAGCUAUAUCUGCUAUUGAGGAUGGAAUAAGAGCAUCCGAACAAACGGAUUCGGACACAUCACCACUGGCUGGAAGGCUUUUUGUUGUCAUCGGGGCUGGUGGCGCGGGAAAAGCACUGGCAUAUGGAGCAAAAGAGAAGGGAGCAAGAGUUGUAAUUGCAAACCGUACUUUUGCACGUGCACAAGAACUUGGCAACUUAAUUGGUGGGCCUGCAUUGACUCUGGCGGAUUUGGAAAACUACCAUCCAGAGGAAGGGAUGAUUCUUGCAAAUACAACAGCCAUUGGAAUGCAUCCAAAUGUGAAUGAAACUCCUUUAUCUAAGCAAGCACUCAAAUCUUAUGCUGUUGUGUUUGAUGCGGUCUACACACCAAAAGAGACCAGACUUCUCCGAGAAGCUGCAGAAUGUGGAGCUACAGUUGUUAGUGGUCUGGAGAUGUUUAUUCGGCAAGCUAUGGGCCAGUUUGAGCAUUUCACGGGCAUGCCAGCUCCAGAUAGCCUGAUGCGUGAUAUUGUUCUGACAAAGACAUAGUAAGGUCUGUCCAAAGAGCAAGCUUCCAUUCAAUCGUAAUUUCUGCACAAUUGAUUCCAGUUGUGUCCCCUCGUCCUUCCCGCUUCUUCCUCAACCUGUAGAAACCACCCCGUUUAUCUCAGUAUGCGCAUCCUCUGACUGACCAUCAACGGCAGCUACUUAAUAGUUCUUCCCUUACUUUCAGUGGAUGAUUACAAAUUCCGAGCGAUUGCAAGUUCAUUGGACAAUCCUAACACCAUGAAGCCUCGUCUGUGAGAGAUUCAUCAAUGGCCACGAACUUCCUUAUUUUUUCCUUUUCUUUUUUAGAUUUGGAUUCAGUGACCAGUUUGCGUCUCAGCAAUUGUAAAUUAGAUGUUCUGAGCUGAAACAUUUUGGUGUGUGUUAUUUGUAUCAGCAUAAAAUUUGCAUUCCGGCCAAGUGUGCACAUCAAAGAACAGCAAGAAAGCUUUGCAUGCGAUUUUGUAGUAGGAAAUAUGUGGUUAUUUGAAUCAAGCAUGGUGUUCCCUCUGAGAACCUCGGAUUCGA